rnacentral:lncRNA from 10 species
CAGGGGGCAGGAAUUCUUCAACGUAGAGAAGAAAAGAUUCAGACAGAAAAACAACCCCUAGCUGUGGUGGCUGUAAUGAUCACCAGUCUAUAAAGGACUCUUACGGAGAAGUUGGUCCCCACAUGCUGCAGAGACCACCUGGACCUAAACACCCCUCAAAUGGUGACUCCCAGCCAGGGUUCUCCCUGAAUUCCAGACUCAGAUGCCCAGAGAGAUCUCAAACCACCGCUCGUUUCAUGAAUGCCUGUGAGUCACCAGGCAGAGUGUGAGACCUUGUGGGUCCAUCAAUGGAUAAACCGAAGAGGGUCCUGCCGUGAGGCGCUCCUCUUCCAACCUUUGCCUCCCUAGAAGGAUGUCAGCAAUGCCUGGGCAAGUCCACACUGAAAUGCACGUUCCUGCUCUUUCUCUGCAGAGCCACAUCUCCUACCAAAGUCUCCAGAGGGGUUUGGAGCCUGCAGUUCCAAAGCUUGAAGCCCCGGUGUCCUAACCUGGCUGCUCAUGUGGCCUGAUCUGCCAAAUCCGGCAUUGGCCAUGUCCUGCCAUUACUGCCAAAACGUUUCUCAGAUCUGUGCCUUCUGCCUUCCCCUUUCUUGUGAUCACAGGCGUGAGCCAUCGCACCGGCCCAGGGUAACUUUUCAAAACACAAACCUCUUCGUGCCACACCGCAGCUCAAAAGCCCUCCCAGGCUCCCUAUCACCUGUCAGGAAAGCCCAAGCUCCUUAGCACAGGCUCGGUGCGGUACCCGCAGUCUUCAGUUGUGGCACUUUGCCUGUCUCAUCAAUGCCUUCUUCUCACCCUGUGUCUUGCACACAAUACUCCAGGAAAUGGCUUAAUUGCUUGCAGAUGCCCCCCAGAUACUGCGGUAGAUGAAAGUACUGGCCCUAACUCAUCGCCUCCCUGCAUUUGCACCUUUUAUCAUGUGAAUUUUCAGUUCUCCCAACCAGAGGCAAGAUGUACUUCCCUGCCCCUUGACUUCAGGCUUAGUCAUGGGACUUGCUUUGGACAAUGGGGUGUGAGCAGGCCUGACACAGCAGAGGCCUGAGGUGCACCAUGCAUUUGAGCUUGCCUCUUGCACCUCUCCGGUCACCAGGAGGAGGGCUUCCCAGGAGUAGUGGCUGUGCCUGGAUCCCCACAUGAUACACAAGGAAGGCCAAGCAUGGUGGUU